rnacentral:tmRNA from 1 species
GGGGAUGAAAGGAUUUCGACAGGGUUGUUGAACCUUGGUCAGCGAGUAGUGGAGUUGCACCACUUUAAAAGUAACAGCUUAAAAUUAACUGACAAAAAUAAUUCAGUUGCUCUUGCUGCUUAAUUAGCAGCUUGCGUUCUCUUACAGAGUGCCACGGCUGUAUGCAGAGCGUCGAUUUAGUGGCGAACAUGAACGAAGGAGCGCCUUGACCUUCGUCAGGAAUUAAAGGCUACCGUAGGCAGAAGGCUGUUUGUUGCCGUCUGCCGAGGGGAUAACUCAAAAAACAAACUACACUCGUAGAGCCCUUGGCAAAACGAUUUUGGACGUGGUUUCGAUUACCACCAUCUCCACCA